rnacentral:rRNA from 1 species
AUGGUGAUUCUCUUCCCAAUCCUACUCGCUAUCGCCACCUCGUUGGGAGUCUUGUCUAUCUCGCUGUCACGCGCCCUGACAUCUCCUACCCUGUCCAUAUCCUCAAUCAGUUUGUCUCGGCCCCCACCUCUGUCCACUAUAGCCAUCUCCUCCGUGUUUUACGAUAUCUUCGUGGCACGAUCUCCCAUCGUCUCUUCUUUCCCCACCCCAGCUCUCUCGAGCUCCAGGCCUACUCGGAUGCUACCUGGGCUAGUGAUCCCUUUGAUCGACGUUCACUGUCUGCUUACUGUGUUUUUCUUGGUGGCUCCCUGA